rnacentral:lncRNA from 1 species
AUGUCUGUGAGCAUUCUUAGAGUCAUGAAUCAUGACGACAAAUUUAAUUCUGAGAUCAACAUCAUAAAGUAUCCAGUGACAGCUAUAAGAAGUAGUCUUCUUUUAUAAGUCGGUAAAUGGAAAGAAAAAUUGACUAGGAAGUCAUUUCCAAUCAAAAGGCAGCUCACAAGAAGACUACAUAUAUGUAUGUAUGUAUAUAUGUAAGAAGAAAGUGUGACAGAAUAAUGACCAUGGAGGUGAGGGAUAACAUGAAAUGAGCAGAAGCCGGCAGAAUACAUAGAUAAGCGAACGGAACAUCAAUCUCUUUAUAACCUCUUCUGUCUAUACUUCAAGAAUGGAUAUCCUGCAAGCCGGCUUCGUAGAGUCUCCCUUGAAAGUGGACCUCGUGAUCUAGCCUUUAUGUCCGUGGAUUGACACUGUGAUGGAUUCCCCCCAAGUUCAUUUAGAUAUUCUCUCUUAUUCAUAAAUGUCACGGUCAGCUCUGUUCUUAUAGAUACCAGAAUGGAUACCCCUAAGCUGAUGUAUAUACACCCUUCCUCGGUUGCGAGAUUCCUGCUCUGGUGGUUGUAGUCAUAAGAUAUACAUCGUUGCGUACACCUUGGUUGUGGGCACGCACACUACUGUUGAAUUACCACCUUGUCCAAGUGGAUGGAUGCCCUCAAUGGGAUUUGGCACAUUCUCCAUUGCUCCUGCGCUCUGUUAUCAGCACUUCGGGUUCAUAAUGUACACACAGCAAUGGAUUUUCUGCAGCUGAUUUUCCAUAUUCUGUUUUCUUCGGGUAAGCAGAAACAGAUGCCUUCCUCACUGGUCACCAGGUUCAAGGUCCCUCAUAUGUGUCAGGUGCAUAGUCACCAACAAAGGCCAACUUCACAUCAAUGGGUGGAUCGUACCUCGGCCUAAGCUCCAGGAUUGAUUGUGCUGUUAGAGUCACAGCUACAACCGGCUCAGGGAACCCAGUGGAAGAGGAGGUGGAGUGUGAGAACCAAUUGGAAUGGAAGACAGUGAGGAAACAAGGCCUUCAAGACACAAGAGGACUGCUGAGCUCACAGAGACUGAGGCAGCACCCUCAGGACCUGCACAGGUCUAAGCUUGAUGCGAUCUGAGUACUGAGAGGGCAACUGGACACAAUUCUAUAUAUGGAGUGACACUGGACAUAGAA